rnacentral:lncRNA from 1 species
AGGGGGCUUGGGGGGAGCUGCUUCCUGUGGGGGACCCGUGCUAGAGCAGUUUGCUCCUGGGGGAUGGACCCCAUGGUAUGGAGCCGUGUGGGAGCAGUUCUUGAAGAGCUGCUGCCUGUGGGCAGCCCCUGCAGGCUCAGUUUGGGAAGGACGGCACCCCGUGGGAGGGACCCCAUGUGGAGUAGGGGCAGAGAGGGACCAUGAAGAAGCGGCAGGGACAGAGCAUCAUGGACUGACCACAGGCCCCAUUCCCCUGGACCACUCGGCGGAAGGAGGGAGAUGAAAGUGGAUGGCAGAAAGGUGGUUUUAGUUUAGCUUCUCACUGUUCUAGUCUACUAGUGCUAGGCAAUAUGUUAUUUUUAAUCUCCCAGUGUUGAGUCAGUUUUGCCUGUGACGAUAAUUGUGGAGAGUUUUCCCUGUCCUUAUCUCAACCCUUGAGCCCUUCCCAUCAUAUUUUCUCCCCCUUUUCUUUUGAGGAGAGGCAGUGAGAGAGUGGCUAUGGUGGAGUUCAGCUACCUAGCAGGGUAAAACCACAACAAAUGUAUAGAAGAAUGUUAAGUUUUUCUACAUUAUUAUAACAUGAACAGUUCUUUGAAUCACCUAUAUACCCUUGAGCAGAUAUUAGAGUAAAUAUCAAUGGUCAAUGGUUGUUACUGCAGUGGAUUCUGAACUUAUAUGAGAGAGUAAAACACUGAAGUAAUUUGGUUUGCAAAAGAUACCUAUGGUGGAGAGGUAAAAUAAAGAGGUCUACACAGUAUUACAAACCCUUCCACUAGUUCUUUCUGGUCAGAUAAGUAAGACCGUAUACACCAUCACUGAUUUUGAUAUGUUAUGACUUCUUUUUGUAAAGGUUGUAUCUCUAUGAAAAGGGCAGACACGAUUCUGAUAGAAUGUGGCAUAGGAAUUGCACCUCUUAGUGUUUGGAUGGGGACAGAAGGGCACUUCAGAAGACAAUCUCUGCUGCUGUUAUUAAGGACUUCCUACUGGACUUUUCCCUGAUUACGUGUUCUAUUAACUCACAUUGAUUUCAGUAAUUCACCUUGUAUUUUCAGCGUCAAUUCAACUUGAAACCUUUUUUAAGGAGGUGUUUAUCAGUGAAUUCUGUAUUAUCCCACUUUAAAGCUGGAACAACGAACUGCAGAGUUUAGUCUGCAUCUUUUUGAAAAUUUUUGGGAGAAGUUCAUACUGGAGUAUCAUCUGUUAUGAAGGGUCCUAGAGAAGCUGUCAGAAAUUAAAACAAUAUGCUCUGAUGGAAAGAAGGUUCUAUAAAAAGCAGUUUCCAGUUAAAUCUAUAUAGUUCCAAUAAUAGUUUCUGAUGGUGCUUCGUAACAAUUUCAAAGUGGAUGCUCUGAAUACACAGGAGUGCUAUAUCACAUUAUUUAGCAUUCACAUUCACAUGACACCAUAAAGACAAGUUGAAGUUGUCUUAGCAGCUAUUUAAACAAAUGCUCUGAAUAUGUAAAGUCACAUAGAAAACUGCUGAAAUAUUCUCAUUCUCUACUAUAUUUGAGAGAAUUUUUCCAGAAGUGCUUAUUAUCCAAAUAAUAGUUACAGAUUUAAGGGUGAACUUUUUGUCUUAGCAUAAAUUUGCACUCUACUGCAAAGUGCACUCAAUGCCUUACCAGGUACUGAAUUAAGGAUUGCAGGAUUCAGCAGCUCAUGCCUCUUUGCCCUCUUUGCGGCUGCUGCAUACAGCUAAUUCCUCCUGGGAAAACAAGCAGGCCAUCAGUUUGUUUACCAUCCAGUAAAGAUACCUGGCAGUUUCCUUGCACAAAAUGAGCUGCUCUCUUGUCAGGAAGAUGUUUGAUCCUCUCACAAGCUCUGCCAUCUGUUGAAUAAAUAUAGGCAUGUGAAAGUUCA